AAUUUGGGUAGGGUUGUUGGUUCAGGUUUAGAAAGAUUAAGAUUAUGCUACUCUUAUGUCUUCCCUAAAAAGGACCAAGAAGCAAAAUUUUGCUCCCCCAAAAUGUAUAUUUUCAUUUUUUGGAGUCCAGUGCAACCCUCUAAUGACUGACUGACUUGAACUUACUAUAACUUUUGAACCUUCAAUCUUCUUAUGCUUCUAGAAAGCGUAAGAAGUUCACAUUUACUGAUAAUAUCAUUAAAGUUAAUAGAAAUUCAGCCAACAAAAUAUAAAACUUAGGCUCUGUUAAGCAAGUGGCUAUUUUAGCUUAAAAAGUCACUCAAAAGUCAAAAAGGCAAAAAAGUUUUUAACUCAUACAAAAAAAUCAAAAAAUCCUUUGCAUUCUCUCUACAAAGUCAAAGAUUCCUUCCCAUUCACACUACCUUUUGCAUAUUUUUUCAUAAAAAGCCAAAGAGUCGUUCCCAAACAUAUUAUUGUUUUUUUUUCACCUCAUAUUUUAGUUUAAGAGCACUAAAAAGCCAUUUCCCAAACAGGCCCUUAAUUACAUUGAUCAGUAUGCUGAUAGACAAAUAAACCUGAGAAAGGGAAAGUAAAUGCUACUAUUUAAAAACUAAAAGGACUUUGAAGACACCAAGAGAAAACAGUUCUACUCUGGCAGAUUCCUAUUUUUAAAUGAUCCAAUGCUGAAUUACUUCUCUAGAAAAGCUUAAAAUCACAAUUACUAGUGUCAACUUCGCAAAUCUGUCUUUCCCUUAUAGCUCUAACUGGGGCCUAUUCUCUAUUACAUCCUAGGCAAUCAUGUCUUCCUACAACUGCUACCCAUGUUCUCUUUAGACCUUGCUCUAUUCCUUCUUAUCACACCUUCAACUUAAAUGACAUCACACUUCCUCAUAAAAUUAUCUGUUGGUAAUUAUGUUCCUUCUUUUUUUAUCUUCUGAUCAGUAACAAAGAAAAUUGUAUUAAAGAAGUGCCAAGGGGCACAACCUAAAAGUACAGUUUAGAUUCCAACAUUAUUAUCUCAACUACAAUGCUUUUUUUCUGAACAUACUAUUUCCAACUUUUUAAUAGUCAGCAUGCUAUUUAUAUACUCAAUCUUAUCCAACGGAUGACAUUAGUUUGCUAUAUAUAAUUACUCUAUUAAUCAAAUCCCUAACCUAUGACACACAACAUUCUGGAAAGAUUCCUUGACUUCAUUAUCCAACUCUUAUCCCAUGAAAACAUCCUAAAUUUUCGCACUGGUAAUAAUGCAAUACAAGAAAAGAAGGUUAUUUUUUGUUUAUAGUUUGACCAUUGGUUUUCACAAGUUUAGCAUACUUACUUAAAUUUACGUCCUAUAUAAUCUAUAAUAGUCUUAAAUAUCUCAAGACCAUUAGGUAUUGAGCAUCACUGAUGUGGUGAAGAUCCAAUUACAGUUUUGGUGGGAAAAGAUUGCUUGUCUAGUUAUCAUGACGAAUAGAAAACAUAGUUUAAGAAACUGUUUUGUUUAAUAAAUAUACUUAAGUAGCUUGUCAUUGGAUGACUGCAUGGAAGCCACAUAUCUCUAGCUUGUUAUGGGUGGUUACAAGUUAACCACUUGUCACCUUGUUGCUGAUUUGUAGUUUUUUUUAUCCCUAUGUACUUCACUAUGAACUAACUUCAUAAGCUACCUGUAGGGGGAUUUGAGGUAAACAAUGAUUAGGAGAAUAAUUAGAGAGGCAAAACUUUGUUAAUGGUCCAACAAAGAUGGAAUGGCUGGAGAAUAAGUCAACAAAACUCUAGGAAAAAGAGAAUGGCUGUGCACAAAUGGGCAACAUCUUCCCAAAUUCCCAGAAAUCCUCCUCUUGGACCUUGGGAAAUGGGUCCUAUUUAUAGGUUUUUUUUUUUGUACCAAAGGAUAGCAAAUGGCCAAAUAAAGUAAGGAUAUGUGUCCCUUAGAAUCACAUGGAAUAUUCUGUCUUGGGCCACCAGGGUGAAGGUGCUACGUGUCCCUCUACAUGUACUAUGUACUAUCUGUUUGGCACAGAUGUCUCAGCAAGUGCACUUGCGACGGGAGUGUUUGCCGCUGCAACUUGCCUUUUCAACUUGAACCUCAGCAAGUGCACUUGUGGCGGUAAUAUUUGCCGCUACACUUGGCUUCUCAGUUCAGUUUAACCAAGACAUGCAUUCUUAGGACUUCAUAGCCUGCUAUCAGCUAUGUUCGUGUUCACCUCAACAAAGUCUCCACCCUUAGCCACCUAACCACAAACUCUCUAGCUUCCCAUGGCGAAGGCCACAACCAAGUCUGCUAUCAGCCAUGAUACGCCUUAGUACCAAACCUAAAGGGACUUCCUUGGUCCUGUUGUGCAAUCAAGGCAAGUCCAUGACCUAGGUAAAUGGAAAAGGAGUCCCCUUGCACUCGGGCUACCCUGCUCCCAUCUUCGCGGGGUUACCGCGGGAUACUGAUAUCUUUGGGUCUGCUAUCAGCUCUAACCAGUAGGCUUUGGGGCUUGCUAUCAGCGCCAAGCAUUAGUCUCUACUUGUGGAGGGGGAGCUUCUCCCAAAGGCUGGUAUCAUCUUGACAGGGCGUUCCCUUCGCAAGUUAGUUGCGGUGGUUAUAGUUGUUGCGGUGGUUAUUUCCCAUGACAAGUUCAAAUGGUGGCGCCAACAAUACUACAGAUGGUGGCGUCGACAAAGUACUUCCACAACUUGACCGUUACAAGCGCUGCCUCUACAACUUAAUUGCUCCGGUUUUCUCUUUCCCACAACAACUUUAGAUGUCGGUGGUACUGGCAAUACUUGGAAUGGUGACGCUAAGACAGAGUGCCUUAGCAACUUGACCGUUGCAAGUAAUGCCUCUGCAACUUGACUCAGACAUUUUUCCCUAAUAAAAUCCACUCGGACCCUUGGCGGGUCAGACCUGCUUUGGCCUACUGUUGACUCACUUUCCCUGGGCUUUAGCCCAUGCUCCUUCAGCCAUUCCUAGUCGCCUAAAAACGGCAACCUCCGUACUCAGGUCCAUACUUGAUUCGGAGAUUAAUUUCUGACCCUUUACACUACCUGUAUUUGGAGAUUCAAAUAUCAAAUUUUGGUAAUUAUUAUAGCCUUAAUUUGCUGUUUGUUAGGCUUGGUUUUGAGUCCCAUAACCUGUUUUCUUGCAUAAUUUCAGGCUUGUUCCGAGUGUUAUUCGGACCAAGGUCAUACUUUAGUUGUUCGAACCUCCCAUCAAUCACUUUAUUCUUCGAAUCUAGAAUUAGGUCCUAAUAUUUCUAUUUUGAGAACUAAAACUAUAUAAUCACCAAACAACAUACAUCACAAAACGUUCUUUUGUACAUGUCUAGCAAAUCUAUCUGUGACUAAAUCAAAUUGGAAAUGGUUGCCCACAUAGUAAGGCCAUUUUGAUUAGUAAAUCUUUCUCCCUCUAAUUUCAUAUUGUUAAAUUGUUCAUGUCCAUAAUGAUGUCCAUUUGUGUGAUUUGUAUGCCUAUCUUCUCCAACACCCUACUACACACAACGAGUGUGUUUUUUCCAAGUCACUGUAACGAUGGAAAACACCUUGGCUUUAAGCCUUCACAUAAUCACUUACAUUUUUUGGACAAAUGUAAUGUA